rnacentral:rRNA from 1 species
CCUACGGGUGGCAGCAGUGGGGAAUAUUGCACAAUGGGGGAAACCCUGAUGCAGCGACGCCGCGUGAGUGAAGAAGUAUUUCGGUAUGUAAAGCUCUAUCAGCAGGGAAGAAAAUGACGGUACCUGAUUAAGAAGCCCCGGCUAACUACGUGCCAGCAGCCGCGGUAAUACGUAGGGGGCAAGCGUUAUCCGGAUUUACUGGGUGUAAAGGGAGCGUAGACGGUGAUGCAAGUCAGAUGUGAAAGCGCGGGGCUCAACUCCGGAACUGCUUUUGAAACUGUGGAACUUGAGUGCAGGAGAGGUAAGCGGAAUUCCUGGUGUAGCGGUGAAAUGCGUAGAUAUCAGGAGGAACACCAGUGGCGAAGGCGGCUUACUGGACGAUAACUGACGUUGAGGCUCGAAAGCGUGGGGAGCAAACAGGAUUAGAUACCCCAGUAGUC